UAGGAUUUGGUCUAGGAUUUGGUUAAGAUUAGGAUCUACUCAGAGUUUGGUUUAGAACUUGACUAGGGAUUAAUUAAAGUUUGUCUAAAAAUUACCUAGGAUUUAGGAUUUUAUUAGGAUUUUAUUAGGAUUUGACACAGAGUUUGAUUAAGGUUCAAUUAGGAUUUCAAUUAGGAUUUCAAUUAAGAUUUGAUCUAAGAGUUGGUUAAGAUUCAAUUAUGGUUUUUAUUUUUAGUAUUUCUU
rnacentral:lncRNA from 1 species